UGCAGUCGAGCGGAUUUAUCCUUCGGGAUAAGUUAGCGGCGGACGGGUGAGUAACACGUAGGUAACCUGCCUAUAAGAUCGGGAUAACUAUCGGAAACGAUAGCUAAGACCGGAUAACUGGUUUUCUCGCAUGAGAGAAUUAUGAAACACGGAGCAAUCUGUGGCUUAUAGAUGGGCCUGCGGCGCAUUAGCUAGUUGGUGGGGUAACGGCCUACCAAGGCGACGAUGCGUAGCCGACCUGAGAGGGUGAACGGCCACACUGGGACUGAGACACGGCCCAGACUCCUACGGGAGGCAGCAGUAGGGAAUCUUCCGCAAUGGACGCAAGUCUGACGGAGCAACGCCGCGUGAGUGAUGAAGGUUUUCGGAUCGUAAAGCUCUGUUGCCCUAGACGAACAGCAAGGAGAGUAACUGCUCUUUGUGUGACGGUAUAGGAGAAGAAAGCCCCGGCUAACUACGUGCCAGCAGCCGCGGUAAUACGUAGGGGGCAAGCGUUGUCCGGAAUUAUUGGGCGUAAAGCGCGCGCAGGCGGUCAAUUAAGUUGGGUGUUUAAGCCCGGGGCUCAACCCCGGUUCGCAUCCAAAACUGGUUGACUUGAGUGUAGGAGAGGAAAGUGGAAUUCCACGUGUAGCGGUGAAAUGCGUAGAGAU
rnacentral:rRNA from 1 species